AAAUCACUGAAUACCAGUCGUCUCAUGUCAUGUGUUGAAAACGACUUAGCAUGGCGGAAGUACUGCAUGCAUAUAGUCGUGAGAAUAAAACUGCAAUAAAAACGAAAGUUGUGGUGUAUAAAUUUUUUUUCAUUUAAAUUUAAAAUAAUAUUUGAAUUUAUUUAAAUUUUUAAUUUGUUAUGUAAAAAAAUUUCAAACGUGGAAUUAUCUAAAAUAAAGUGCUGUGCGUGUGAUCAGUAAAAAUUACAAUUAUUGGUAAUACGUAAUUAACCCUAUUUUUCAUGAAAUAGUAUUCGUUUUUUAUCAUUACGAAUGAACGUGAUUAAUUAUUCAUGGUUCAAGAAUGGCUAGCGAUUUGUCAAGUGAGUGUACAGAAGCAAUUGGUGUGUUAGACGAAAAAGAAGAAGGUGAAAUAUCUUUGGAAGAUGUAAGUUCUUCCGAAGAAGGACAUGUAAAUUAUGGAUAUGGUUCUAAAACAUCUCAAUGUUCGAACUGUUUGUCAACUCAACACAAUGCAACGUGGUGUAGUGUUCCGGCCAAGUUCUACCCUCCUAAAGGCACUAAUAGAAGAGAAGUUGACCUUAUUCCACAAGAUGCAGUCCAGGGAAAAGAAAAUCGUCAUCAAAUAAAAGAAUCAGGAUGUAUUGGAACAAAACAUACAACUUCUACACUUCAAGAAAAAAAUGAUGAUCUUGUGCCUAUUUCAAGCGAUAGUGAUAUGGAAAUUGUUGGUCUUGCCGAUAAUUCUAAACAAAUUACAAUACAUUCCUCUGCAAAAAGUAGAAUGAAGAAGAAAAGAAAAAAGAAAAGAAAUCAUGUAUCUUCAACAUCAUUAGAUGAUUUAGUUUCUUCAUCUACUGUGGAUAUAUCUAUGAAAGAAUGUAUUAAUACAAUAAAACAUGAUGUGACCAAAAAUAGUUCUAGAUCGCAUCAUAGAGAAGUGAGUCCUAUUCAUAGAAGUAAUAGAUCUAAAGUAAUUCCAAGAUCACCUCCAAAAAGACAUAGAUCUCUUAUAAAACCAAGAUCUCCUUUUAGAAGAUCAAAAUCUCCAAUUAUUCGUACUAGAUCACCAACAAUAAGGAGAUCUCCAAGGAGACUUAAAUCUCCUAAAAGAUCACCAUACAAAUCUUCAACAAAAACAAUGCCUAGAAAAACAUCACAUAUUGAAUUAAUGUCAUCUCGUAAUUAUGUUGAUACACAUAAAUUAUUGAAAAAAGUCAGACAAUUAGGUUCAAUAGGAACUCAUUCAUUAGAAGAAACUUUGAACAAAAAUAAAGAACAUGCAUCUUCAUUAAAAGAAAAAUUAACAAAUAUGAUGAAAGGUGUUUCUGACAAUAAUAUUGAUUUAACAAAUUCUUCAAAAGAAAAAACUAUUAUAAAUGUGAAUAAGAAAGAAUCUAAUGAUAUCGAUGAUGAAGAAGAUUUAGCAUUAUUAAGACAGAAAGCUCUUGAGACAAAACAAAAUAAAUCAAAUAAACAGAAUGAUGUAUCAAAGACUGAAACUUCAAAACAAGUGAGUGCAAAUAUAAAUGAUGAUCAAGAUGAAGAAGAUUUAGAAUUAAGAAUGAUUGCACUUCGUUCUGCUGUAUUAAAAAAACAUCAAAAUAGAAUCCAAAAAGGUAUAAAAUCAGGAAAAUAUAAGAAAUCUGAUACAUUUCGCAGUGAAAGCCCAUUUACUCAAAGCUUUUUAGAUAGUAUUCCUAUACCUGGAGAAGAAUUAUUAAAUUUUGCAUCACCACCGCAUAGUCCUCUUCCUAUAAAUGAAAAUAAUCAUACUGAAGAUAUGGAAUUAGAUACAGAUGUUGAAAGAGAAAAAGAAAAAUUACCAUAUUCUCCAACAGAUAAAAUUACUGCCAAUAUACCUAUGGAUACAGAAUUGCUAGGUAUUCAACCAUCUGAUGUAUCUUUCAUUACUGUUAAUGAAGCAAAUAAUAGUCCAAAUUUUAAUACAUCCGUGACAUCUAGUCAAGAUGAUCAAAAAUCUUAUCAAGGAAAAAUCAUUGAAAAUCAAAGUUAUUUACCAAAUAUUGUAUAUUAUACACCAUCACAAAAUUCAUUGUGUGUUACAAAUACAAAUGUGCAAUAUUUACCAACUGAUUUAUCAGAAACUUCUAAAUCAAAUUUUAUGAAAAUACAUAAUUCUCAUUUAAAUAUACCUCCUUAUGAAAAUAUAUGUAUUGCUAAAAAUAAUAAUAAUACUUCUGAAGCUUUAGAUAUUAAUUCAAGUCAAGAAAUGCCUUAUUCUCCAACUGAUACUCCUAUAUACGAUCCUGAUUUAUCACAUGCUCUUCCACAAACUCUUGGUGCAUUAACUAUCUCAAAUUCUUCCUUAGUUUCUUUAGAAUCAUAUAUUUCUAAUACACAUGGAAGUAAUGAGCAACAUAAUCAUAUAUCAACAGAUCAACAUAUACAAUCUACAAAAGACAUAAGUAAUGAAAAUGAACAUUUAAAUAAAGCAGAAGUACUUUCAUUAGAGCCAGUUACUAAUUUUACUACAACUUCUCUUAUGGAAACUUUAUCGCCAAGUAGUUCAAUGAUAACAAUUGAUGAUCUUCCUGAAAUUGAAGCAGAUGUACAUUUAACUGAUACUGUUAGAAACUUAAAAACAGAAUACAUUCCAAAUGAUUUAUCAAAUAAUAUUAAUGAGAAAAUAGUAGAACCACUUUAUAUGAAGGGCUUACCAGAUGUGACUAAAGAUACAAAUAAAAUACCAACAUUAAUUAAUAGAACACUUGUUCCAGCACCAAUUUUGAAAACAAAUAAACAGUUGCAAUUACCUUUACCUACUAAAAAGAAUAUAACUCAACAAGAACCAACAUUCAAAAGUGCAGAAAUGCAACCAGUUGUCCUUCAUGAAGAAACUAGUAUAAAGACAAAUGCUUCUUUUAAACCAAUAAAAUUAACAUCUUUUCUACAAAAAUCUCAUUCUGUUUUAGCAAUACCAACUGCAUUUCAUGAUUCUUUACAUGAAGAUUUAAUUAAUGAAACAUCUACAGAUAAAUCAUCUCAUACUUCAUUGAUAGAAAGUAAUCCCAAUGUAACUUUGGUACAAAAUAAUACAACAAAUAUAACAAAUUCAGAAAAAACUAGUGAUAUUAAAAGCCCAACACCAAAAAAAAAGAAACUUUCAAAAAAAGGAUUAAAAAAAAGAAGUAUAGGUCCAGUCUUGAUUGCAAAAAAUCAUAAUACAACAUGUAUAAAAAGUGAUAAUGUAAAUACUGUAGAUAAACAUGAGUCACAGCAAGUUCUUUAUACAGAUGAUAAUCAAGAUCAAAAAGGAAUUCAAAUAGAAAUGGAUCAAAUAGAUAAUAUUGAUGUAUCUAUGUCAGAAACAUCCAAAAAUAUUAUUACAGAAAAAAAUAAUAUUUCUUCAGAAAAUAAUGAAAAAGAAAUACAAAAUAAUGAUAAUUCAAUGAAUGAUAUAUCAGAACAAAUAAAAAAUACAGAAGAUAGAAGACAAAGUCUUGAUGAAGAUGAAGAGGCGUUAAGAGCAAUUUUAUUAGCUUCUUUGCCAAAACGAACAAAAAUUACUAACAAUUGUUCCAAUUCAGAUACAAUAUCUACUGCAUCUACUACAUUAAAUCAAGUACUUGUAAAUGAAACUGUAUCAAAUAUUGUAUUACCCACAAGUAACUUAUCAAUUCCACAUGUAAAUGGUUCAGAAAAUGAUAAAAAUCAAUCAAAUUCUGGAGAAAAAGUAAAUAAUAUCACACAAAAAGAUUUAUCUGUUGAUAAUAAUAAAACUUUAAAUAUAACAACUUUGGGAAGGAAAAGAUCAAUCAAUAUGACAAAAGGUCCACAGAGGAAACUUAUAAAAAGAAUUUCAAUUCCUGCAAGUACAAAAGUUGUAAAUAAUGCAAAAAAAUACCAAAAUACAAUGAUUCAAAAGAGAUUAAAUUUACAAAAAUCUACUCUUUAUAACAAACAAAAAGUGACAGAAAAUAAAAUUUUACCUAAAGUACAAUCUAAUGAUAGCAAAUGGUCUGCUAAUUCAAAGGCAUUGUCUGAUACACAACGAAUUGUUAUAAAUUUAGAGUCUGAUACAGAAAGUGAUUCUGAAUCUGAACGACAAAAAAAUAUAACUGUUUCUUCAGUUCAUUCUGUUAUAACAGAAAAACAUCAACCAACAAUAAACUCUACAACAGAAUUUGAAAAAAAUUUAGAUCAAUUUUUACGUGCAGUACGAAGAAAACAAGAAUCUAUGGCAGCUGCAAGACCAACUUCAAUAUCACAAACACCUAAAAAAGAUACAGUAUUAACAACAAAAUCAGAAAAAUUAAAUUCAUCCAACAAUCUUCAUACACCAUUGGCUGUUCGUCAUUUGCCCGUAUCUCAGCAAGAAGAAUAUCGUCGUUUAAAACAACAAAUUUUAGAACGUGAAAAAUUAAAAUUGCAUAGAACUAUGGAAAAUAAUAGCUUAAUAAAAAAUAAAAAUAUGGAAAUAUUUUCAAAAUCAACACUAUCCAAUAGUCAAAAUAAAGAAUUAUGUGUAAAAAUAAAUCAAAUAUCUACGAAAAGUCAAAAUAUAAAUACACAACAAUUAAAUAAAGAAAAUUGUUCUAAAAAUUUAAUAGAUUCGAUAAAAAAUACAGCUAUAUCAACAAAUAAUAAUAUUCAAACAUGUAAUAAAACGUGUAAUGUUGUUGAUAAACGAGAAAAUACAAAUCCAAAUCAAACAAAAUUGUUAUCAAGAUCAACAACAAAUAGUGAUGUUUGUGUAUCCAUUGAGAACAAUCCAAAUAAUAUUAGAAACAAAAUAGUUGAAAAUUCUGUACAACCGACAAGUACAUUGCGAAAAAUUUUUGAAAUGCCUACGCAGAAAAUUGAAAUGAAAACAAGAAUUUCACCUGGUCUAAAAAUUUUAUCUAUAGAUGAAGUAAAUCAGAAAUAUGUACAAAUUCAAGUAAAAAAUGAUACAAAUGAACGAGUAGUAACAAUAAAUGACAAAGUGUCCUUAAAUAAUAAAGCAGUAAUUAAUCGAAAUGAAAAUAUUUCUGGAUAUAAAGAUAAUAAUAAUAAAAAUACAUGUGAUUAUGAUAUAAAUAACAUGCUUUCUACGAAUAAUAUUAUAUCUAAUGAUAAUAAUGCAGUGGACUCAGAUGCAUCAACAGUUAUCUUGUCAGAAAGACAUGAAGAUAGGAAAGAAAAUCUUGAUACAUCUGAAUCUACAAUUUCACUUUCACAACAUCAAGAGGAUUUAUCAUCGAUUUCAAAUGCGGAAAAUAAUCAUUUUCUAUUUAUUCAAAAUAAUAUAUCAUCAAAGGAUACAAAAAGUAUAGAAGAAAAUUGGGACGAAAUUAAAAAAGAUGUUAAAACAGAAUUAAAUACUCUUAUUAAUCUAUCACGUGUAGAACAAGAACAACGUUUAAUAGAUACUGAAGAAAAAUUAGUUAUGAAACGCUAUACAAUCUUAGAUGAUUUAGCGGAAAUGUCAAGUAAUCUUCGUCAAUGGCACAUGGAACGAGAUUUACAAACAAAUUUAGUUGCUGAAGUAAAAAAACUUAGAGAACAGUUAAAAGUUGCUGAAGAAAGAUUACAAAUACAACGUAAUCGUAUUAAUAAUAUAGGUCCAAGAGUAGUAGCAGCACAUGAAAAAGUUAACGCAGGCCGGCAAGAAUGCUUUAAACUUGCAACUAUUUGUUCAACUUUAGGAAAUAGGAUUAUGGGAAAAGAAUACAAAGUACCUGAAGCUGGAGCACAACUUUUAGAUAAUAGAUUAAAAGAAGUAGCUAAUCAUACGCGACAACUUUCUCGAAAAAAAGUACCAUCUAUUGAUAUUUCUGAUAUGUACGAAUUAUCAAGAUUAGAAGAAGAAACUGUAUCUACUACAUGUACAGAAAUUUCACAAAAUAAAUCUCAGUUAUUAGAAGAAUGCAAUAUUGAUACAAGUAUUUUAAAUGAAGAUCAAUCAAGAAUAAAAUCAAGCGAUAUUGAAAAAAAUAUACAAAUAGAAGACAUUACAAUAAAUAAAAAUAAAACAGAUAAGGAAACAGAUAUAAUAUUAAAUAUUUCCACUCUAAGUUUUGAUGAAAGAUGUAUAUCUAAACAAAAUGAUAUUGAGCAAAAAAUAUUUGAAGAAACAAAUUUAAGUAAUAGUAAUACAACUACUACGAAUAUUCUUAAGCCAGAAGAUAUUCAAAAACUGGAUAGUAAUAUGUCAGAAAAUAAUAUAAUAAGGCCUAUAAUUUUAAAACCUGGUACUAAGAAAAGGAAUUCUACAAAAUUUGAAGGAGAGCUUCAGAGAAAAAAAACACUUUUAUCUUAUGAAUCAAUAUUAACACACUUUAAAAUACCAAGGAACACGAAUCCCAAUGGUGUCCUUUGUCCAUACGAACUAAUGGGAACAUGCAGUGAUGGAGAUUGUCAAUUUAUUCAUCAAACAGAGAGUCAAACCAAGUAGCAUUUAGCUACCAAAGUGGCAUUAUUAAGUUAUACGUAAGGUGGUUUUAAUCUUUAAACAUAAGAUUCACACAGGACAUUAUGAAAUAAAAAUCAAGAUUUUUAAAGUACUACUAUUUCUGAGGAAGCAAUAUCCCAUAUAGAUGGAAGAAUCCUGUUAACAAGCAGAAGUAACACCUGAAGAUGGUAAGUUAUCUUCAUCACGGCAGGAGUUUGUGCACAAAUUAAAGUAGCCAUUUUAUUACAUAAAAAUUAUAAAUUUUAAAAAAAGCAAAAUUUUUAAUACUGUGCUAUUUCAAGCUUCUAUUCUAAUGAAAGUUUAAAGAAGAUUUGCUGCAAGUGUUUAUUUUUUACAUAUGUAAAAAGUGUCAUAUAAACUGCAAAUAAUUAGUGUGAUUAAUGUAAAAAAAAAAAAAAAAAAAAAAAAAAAAAAAAAAAAAAAAAAAAAAAAAAA